rnacentral:rRNA from 1 species
GACAGAGGAUGCAAGCGUUAUCCGGAAUGAUUGGGCGUAAAGCGCCUGUAGGUGGCUUUUCAAGUCCGCCGUCAAAUCCCAGGGCUCAACCCUGGACAGGCGGUGGAAACUGCCAAGCUGGAGUACGGUAGGGGCAGAGGGAAUUUCCGGUGGGGCGGUGAAAUGCGUAGAGAUCGGAAAGAACACCAACGGCGAAAGCACUCUGCUGGGCCGACACUGACACUGAGAGACGAAAGCUAGGGGAGCGAAUGGG